GUGCUCGCUUCAGCAGCACAUAAACUAAAAUCGGAACGAUACAACAAGAUUAGCAAGGCCCCUGUGCAAGGAUGACACACAAAUUUGUGAAGCAUUUCAUAUUUUC